rnacentral:tRNA from 1 species
GGCUUUUUAGUAUUAUUUUUGGUAUAUUUGUUUUCCAAACAAGUGGUUUUUAAGCUU